rnacentral:rRNA from 1 species
CCUACGGGUGGCAGCAGUCGAGAAUCAUUCACAAUGGGGGAAACCCUGAUGGUGCGACGCCGCGUGGGGGAAUGAAGGUCUUCGGAUUGUAAACCCCUGUCAUGUGGGAGCAAAUUAAAAAGAUAGUACCACAAGAGGAAGAGACGGCUAACUCUGUGCCAGCAGCCGCGGUAAUACAGAGGUCUCAAGCGUUGUUCGGAAUCACUGGGCGUAAAGCGUGCGUAGGCUGUUUCGUAAGUCGUGUGUGAAAGGCGCGGGCUCAACCCGCGGACGGCACAUGAUACUGCGAGACUAGAGUAAGGGAGGGGGAACCGGAAUUCUCGGUGUAGCAGUGAAAUGCGUAGAUAUCGAGAGGAACACUCGUGGCGAAGGCGGGUUCCUGGACAUUAACUGACGCUGAGGCACGGAGGCCAGGGGAGCGAAAGGGAUUAGAUACCCCUGUAGUC